GCUGUUCGCUGGUCUCACGCGCGCGCGGGGAAGUGGCGGAGUCCGUGCGCGGAGCCCAGGAGCCUGUGGAAGCGCAGCUUGUCCCGGAAGGCAGGCGGUCUGGGAAGGGAUUCGUUUCCGCGCAAUAAGAGUACUUUCUAGAGAAGACCGGCCCCUUUUGUCCUGGGACGUAAGCAGCGAGGCGACCUGACUCGUGCACGCAGCGAGGAUUGAUGCAGCUGCAUCACCUGUCUCCGCCGUGCGCGGGACAGGUGAGUUCUGAGCCACCCAGAACACCGCGGCUCGGCUCAGCCCCAGUGCUCCGGUUCAGGGCUACAGGAUGCGAGUCCUUUAACGAAACGGAUUUGCUUCUCGUGACGCCCUUGAAGAGACGCCUUCCUCCACCGCUGCACUGCAGAGAGGUGGGCGCCGCCACCCCCACCCCACCUGCGCCUCCUCCAGGAAGCCUUGCUCAGGGCAAGGAUUGUGACAUCCCAGGUCACUCUACAGCUACAAAGAAGCACUUGUGGACACUCGUCACUUGUUGGGAUGCGUCAUGGCUUCUGAUCACUCCAGGUGCUGCAGUGAUGGGAACGCCUCAGACAGUGUUUCUGCUUCCAGCAUUAUUCACAAUAGCCAAGAUAUGAAAUCAACCCAAGUGUCUUGUUGACAGGUAAAUAAAUAAAGACAAUGUGGCAUAUGUGUACAAUGGAAUAUUAUUCAGCCAUCAAAAAGAAGGAAUCCUGCCAUUUGCAGCAUCAUGGAAGAACCUGGAGAACAUUAUGCUAAGUGAAACAAGCCAGACAUAGAAAGAGAAAUACUGUAAGAUCUCACUUUUAUGUAGAAUCUUAAAGUUGAAUUCAUAGAAGCAGAGAGUAGAAUGGUG